CCUACGGGUGGCAGCAGUGGGGAAUAUUGCGCAAUGGGCGAAAGCCUGACGCAGCGACGCCGCGUGAGGGAUGAAGGUUUUCGGAUCGUAAACCUCUGUCAGGAGGGAAGAAAGCGCAUUGCGCCAAUCAGCCGUGCGUUGACGGUACCUGCAAAGGAAGCGCCGGCUAACUCCGUGCCAGCAGCCGCGGUAAUACGGAGGGCGCGAGCGUUAAUCGGAAUUACUGGGCGUAAAGCGCGCGUAGGCGGUUUUGUAAGUUAAGGGUGAAAUCCCACGGCUCAACGGUGGAACAGCCAUUGAAACUGGGCGACUUGAGGCCGGGAGAGGGUAGCGGAAUUCCAGGUGUAGGAGUGAAAUCCGUAGAUAUCUGGAGGAACAUCAGUGGCGAAGGCGGCUACCUGGAACGGUACUGACGCUGAGGAGCGAAAGCGUGGGGAGCAAACAGGAUUAGAUACCCUUGUAGUC
rnacentral:rRNA from 1 species